rnacentral:rRNA from 1 species
GAUGAACGCUGGCGGCGUGCCUAAUACAUGCAAGUCGAGCGAACAGACGAGGAGCUUGCUCCUCUGACGUUAGCGGCGGACGGGUGAGUAACACGUGGAUAACCUACCUAUAAGACUGGGAUAACUUCGGGAAACCGGAGCUAAUACCGGAUAAUAUAUUGAACCGCAUGGUUCAAUAGUGAAAGACGGUUUUGCUGUCACUUAUAGAUGGAUCCGCGCCGCAUUAGCUAGUUGGUAAGGUAACGGCUUACCAAGGCAACGAUGCGUAGCCGACCUGAGAAGGUGAUCGGCCACACUGGAACUGAGACACGGUCCAGACCCCUACGGGAGGCAGCAGGAGGGAAUCUGCCGCAAUGGGCGAAAGCCUGACGGAGCAACGCCGCGUGAGUGAUGAAGGUCUUCGGAUCGUAAAACUCUGUUAUUAGGGAAGAACAAAUGUGUAAGUAACGAUGCACGUCUGGACGGUACCUAAGCAGAAAGCCACGGCUAACUACGU